AGUAUGGAAGCCUGAGUGGUUCACCUCGUUGGCGAGCUGUGGUGGGGGGCAGGUCUGCUAUUUGGACCUCCUGGAGGCUGUGGUAUGCAUGGUCAAGUGGCUCACCUCCUUGGCCAUAGCAGGCUCUGCUGGUCGGCAGUCAGGGGCAGUGGCAUGGAGCCCCCAGUGGCUUGACUCCACAGUGCUGGUGUGGGGUGGUGGGUUCUGUGCUCCUCAGUGGUAGGGCCGAUGCCAUGGUGGCCCCAGAGACUCACCUCCCCGGUGCUAUGAACCACUGCUACAGGGACCCAGGGGUUCACCAUCCCUGUGCUUGGGGGGACAUUAUGUUUCUCAGCGCGGGGGGGGGGGUUGGCAAGUGGGAUUGGGGGGUGUGAUACUGAGGUCCGAGAAGCUCACCUCCUCAGCACUCUGAUCCCUACAAAAAAUACUAAACCUUAUCCUAACUUGGAAACUGCAACACUAAGGCCUGCAUGCAGAAAGUAAUGCAGGGUCAGUUGGGGUGAAUGUUUCCAAUUUGCAUAAGGUAGGGUGGGAACGGGCAGUCAAAAAUGUGAGGUGACUUCAUAGAAGCAGGUUGGAGAGGGGACCCCAGGAUGUGACCUCAUUUCCUUGACAAUGGAACAAACAGAUCUUGGAGCCCUGAAGGCUGGUGGGAGUCAGUUACUCAUGCAGAGUCUGAACAACAGGAAGGAUAUAUGUUAUGUUGCUUCCCAAAUUACCUAGGCUCAGGCCAAAAGAGAUGGUGGAGUGAGAGAUAUUAAAAAGAAUAAACUGCAAGUCAACAGCAUUGAGACUAAGUUAGUAAGAAUGAAGGAUGAGACUGUUAGUAAGAAUGAAGGCCAUAUGCAGUUUAUUGAGGGCGACACAGGAAUUUAUGCAGGAAGUGACCUCACUUCCUUGACAACAGACCAAGCUACCAAACAGAAUGUGGAGUCCUGGAGGCUGGUGGGAUCCAGUUCCUCGUGCAGAGACUGAAACACUAGGACUAUGUGGUCAUGCUGCUUCCCAAAUUGCCUAGGCUCAGGCCAUAGGAAAUGGUGGAGUGGGGGCCUUGCCCACAUGUGGACACUCUGGGACAGCUGUCAACCCUGGCACCUCUGGGGAAGGAACCCAAAGAUAACAAAGGUAGCAUGGGACAGCCCAGAGCAGACCACAGGGCUGAGCGGGAGCUGCAGCUGCCCAGGACCUAAAGAGGAUCAAGCCACAGGUCACCAGCCCAGGAAAACAUUUGAGUUCUCCACGCCAAAGCCAAGGGAGGCCUGAUGAUGCAUGUGCCCUCCACACCCCUGUGAAACCGAG